AGAAUCUGUGCACUUUUUAGCGGUUAAUUUCAAAAGUGUGUAAAAAUUUCCCGCCGAAGCCAUCUGUACCUAAAGUUUCGUUACUGUCGGUUUGGGUUCAUCUAAACAAUACCCGAAUUCUAAACUCCAUCUCUGCGAUCUCUCGCCGUGUUCGCCAGCUCCAUAGAUCUCCAUUGUCGCCACCGAAUCCUGUAGAGACCUCCAUCGUCGCCGCCGUCACCUCGAGGCACAUACCAGCCAAUCGCACUCGCUGCCUACUGUUACAGAAAGCAAGCGUCGAUUUCAGAGACCUCCAGGCAACACUCUUGCUUCGACGAAGCUACAACUUCCGCAUCUCUUCCAGACGUUUCAGAAAAUCUCGAAUUGCAUCGAAACCCAUUUCUCCAAUUUCACAUCCCAUCCUCAACGCCUCCCAACCCUUGGCAAAAACCCACUGUUCUCCAUCUCAUCAUCAUCAUCAUCAU
rnacentral:misc_RNA from 1 species